GAGGAAGAGGAGCAGGCCAACAAGGGAGAGGAGAAGGUCCAGGAGGGAGAGCAAGACAACCUCGCACCCUCAUUACGGACGAGAUGCGAGCAACAGUCAUUGACCAUGUCAUUGUCCAUGGCAUGACAAUGGCUGAAGCAGGACUACGAGUCCGUCCAAACCUGAGUAGGUUCACCGUGGCCACCAUUAUCAGGGCAUUCAGACAACACAACAGGUAUUGUACUCUAUUGCUUUUGUCACAAUACAAUUUUACAAGCUUGUGAAAGUAGUCUAUUGGUUUCAAAUCAGUUGUUACUGUAUUGUAAAACAUGUCAAUUGACAACACAUGUUUCUUUCUUUAGAGUUGAAAGAACGCCACAUAGAGGUGGGAGGGUUGCCAUAUUUACAGCGGCACAAGAAACCCUCAUUGUGGAUAUGGUUCGUGAGAACAACCUCAUCAGACUCCGGGAGAUCCGAGACAAAGUCAUUGCCGAUAAUGUCAACUUUGAGAGCAUUGAUGAUGUCAGCUUGGCCACAAUAGACUGAGUUCUCAGGCGCCAAAAGAUGCGGAUGAAACAGGUCUAUAGGGUUCCCUUUGAGCGCAACUCUGCGUGACACAAAGACCUACGUUACGAGUAUGUGCAAAGGAUAUUACAGUUGGACGUGAUGGCCAGACCUCAUGAGUACCUCUUCCUGGAUGAGGCUGGCUUCAACCUGCAGAAACGAAAGCAAAGAGGCCGUAACGUCAUUGGCCAAAGAGCCAUCACUGAGGUUCCUGGCCAACGGGGGGGUAAUAUUACUCUUUGUGCGGCCAUGGGUUUGGAGGGGCUUGUCCACCGGCAUGCUGUCCUUGGGUCUUACAACACCCAAUGUCUCCUCACCUUCCUAGAGGAGCUAAAAGACAUCCUUCUGGACCGCCAACAACACCAUCCUGGGCCCGCACAUCACAUUUAUGUGAUCACUUGGGACAAUGUACGCUUCCACAAAACAAACCAAAUCAGAGAGUGGUUCACCACCAACAGUAACCACUUUUUAAAUGUCUGUCUGCCACCCUACUCCCCUUUGCUGAACCCUAUAGAGGAGUUCUUCUCAUUGUGGAGAUGGAAGGUUUAUGACAGACAACCAUACACUAGAGAGAACCUCCUAAGGGCAAUGGAGCUGGCCUGUGUUGACAUCCCAGUGGAGUCCUUCCAAGGAUGGAUUUGCCAUUCCAGGGCGUUUUUCCUGCGGUGCCUGGCAAGAGACAAUAUAGCCUGCGAUGUGGAUGAGGUGAUGUGGCCCGAUGCAGCUCAGCGACAUGAUGCCACACAGUGAUUGUGGUGUGAAUAAAGUAAAUUAAAAAAACUUCACACCCUGAUCAUGUUUUCAAGAGUACUGUUGUGUGCAAUAGAUUCUGUUUUUGCAUUGAGUUGUGUUACA
ensembl:lncRNA